rnacentral:rRNA from 1 species
AUGCGAGUAUCCAAGUUCAAAAGAAAGAAAAACAUUAGUCCCCUAUAUACGCGCCCUGGCCCACAGUCGACCGUGCUCGCUCAUGCGCGUCGAUCGCGCAACGACUCAAUCAAACGCGUCUCUCGCUGGAUUCGGUCCACGUAUGCCAUCUCGUUUAUCAGCGUCUCGCCGCCUACCGGGCCCCAGCGCCCCUCCCCACCAAUCCAAAAUUCGAAGCCGCUCGAGAAAAAACCACGUCCGUCUUCACAGCCACACAAGAUGUGUGGGUCCCGCCUGUAUGCGGAACUGCUUUUUUUUUUUGUCUAA